rnacentral:rRNA from 2 species
UGGGGAAUAUUGGGCAAUGGGGGAAACCCUGACCCAGCAACGCCGCGUGAGGGAAGAAGGUUUUCGGAUUGUAAACCUCUGUUCUUGGAGAAGAGAAGGAGACGGUAUCCAAGGAGGAAGCCCCGGCUAACUACGUGCCAGCAGCCGCGGUAAUACGUAGGGGGCGAGCGUUGUCCGGAAUGAUUGGGCGUAAAGGGCGCGUAGGCGGCCGAGCAAGUCAGUAGUGGAAGUCCAAUUUUCAAGGUUGGAAGUGCUAUUGAAACUGCAGGGCUUGAGUGCAGGAGAGGUUAUCGGAAUUCCCGGUGUAGCGGUGAAAUGCGUAGAGAUCGGGAGGAACACCAGUGGCGAAGGCGGGUAACUGGACUGCAACUGACGCUGAGGCGCGAAAGUGUGGGGAGCAAACAGG